UAUAUCUGACAUUUUGAAACACAGGCUAAGGAGAUGUAUUCAGAUAGUAAGAUAGCAGGUAGACACACAGACUCCUGGAGACAUAGUGUCAGAAGUUACAGUGCCCCUCAGCAGGAAGGACACAGCUUCCACCAUCUGUGGGGUGGCUGGGAAAUGAUGUGCAACUCUUGAGGAAUUCCGAACAAAACAAAGCACAGAGCCUCCACUCACAGCCUCGUGUUCUUGGAAUGUUCUUUGCAUAUUAUAACUGAAAAUCCUCUGCAUAUUAUACUGAAAAUCCUCUGCAUAUUAUAACUGCAGGAAAUUGUCCACUCACCAUGCAGAGUUCAGCUUUGAUCUUAGAUCAUUGCUGUGGAAGUGGUUCAUGUACCAAUGUCUAGCUGGCCAUGCGGAAGCUUUGUAGGAGAGGGGUUCAGGGGCUCAUUUUUCUGACAGGACCAUGGGUGUGAGAAGCCCUAUCUGUAGUCAUUCUCCCACAAGCCUCCAAAGCGUCCUUGAGGAGAAACCUCUCCUUGUUUCUGAUUGCUCCCUGACCUUGGCCUUGUGUCUUCUUGGCCAGCCUAUUUCAUGUUGGGGACAUCUUGUGGACAGGUACAAGGGGGCUGCUGGUCAGCCAUAAGACCAUGUCUGUGACCUAGGAGGUGCCAUCUAAGGUCCCUGUCUGCAUGUGGCCUGCCACUCUCCUGCCUUUUCCUCUGGAAUCUCUCAUGGUGGUGGUUUUGGCAUAUAGCUGUUCUACUGUGGGCCAGUCCUGAGGCUUGCUUGCCAUCUUUUAAGAGGAAGGAGGCCCCCAGCUUGUGGGGUAGGGGUUCAUAGAGCAGGGGCUCUAUGAACCUGACACACAGUCGGUGCCCAGCAGAUGCCAGCUCCCGCGCUUGCUCCUGGCUUCUUUCCUGUUUACAGGUCAUCUCCAUCUCUCAUUUUGUUUCCCUCCAUUGGUCUCAGUUUAAAUCUGAUCUACAUUGUCCAGUAUGGCAGCCACCAGUUAAAGGUGUGGCUAUUUAAAUUUAGAAUAAUUUAAAAUUAAGCAAAGCUACAAAUCCAUUAUGUUUAUAGCCACCGAACCACACUGCUCACAUCCCAAGUGCUCAGUAGCCAUCAUGACUCUGGUGCCACUUUUGAGAGCACAGGGAGAAAGAGGGGAAACUUCUACCCCAUCUCCAGUCAGCACAGUCCACUCAUGGACAUGGAUUUAAAACAAAGGCUAAAGGUAAGCAACUAGUUUGCACUCAUUUCUCCCAGAAAUGCAAUUCCCACUCGCGGGGUACCAGCUCAGUUCCCUGCUAUGCUAAUGUGGCAAAAGCCUGUGUUUCUGCAAUGAUCUGAGCCCAGAAUUGGACUCUGUUCUUCAUAUAAACACAAAAUAUGCUACAAUCAAGAUUCUCCACAUCAUCCCUGCUGUGGUCUGAAUGUGUGUUGAGAACUUAAUCCCCAAAUCAAGAUGCCGACGGUAUUUGGAGGCAGGAUCUUUGUGGGGAGGUUAGGAUUAGAUGAGAUCAUGUGGGGAGUCUCCAUGGGGAAAUUAGUGACUUUGUUAGAAUAGUCAGGGUCAUUGGGCUUACCACGUGAUGCCCCGCAUCACCUUUGCUGCAGUGUGAGGGUCUUGCCAGAUGCUGACACCACACUCUGGGGCUUCCUAAGCCAAAUAAAUCUCUGUUCUCUACAAACCGCCCAACCUUGGGUAUUUUGUUAUGACAACAGAAAACAAACUAAAAAAGCUCCAAAUUUUGGAAGGAAUUACUUGCCUGAUGAAACCAACAGGAGGAACUGACAAAAAGCCCAGCUGGGUUUCUGGGUCAAAUGACUGAAGACAGCACGCCUUGCCAUGUGGAGAAAACUGGAAUGACCCCUGUCCACACCCUUCAAAGGGUGGGCUUGAGAAGUGCGAAGAAAAAGCAAAUAGAGCAACACACAGCAAAUAAAUUUGUGACCCAGGGUGGACAACUCAUUUCAAAAGCACAAGUCACAGGCAGAGGAACUUGAUCGCAUCAUAGCAUGCUGGGGACUGUCUGUGCUUCUUGGUCAGAGGGCACGGGUAUUUGGCCCGCACAAGGCUUCCCGGGGCACAAAGGAUGAUGCUCACUUAGUGUCAUCUAAGGAGGGGGCGGCUCCCUCUGGGAUGGGUGGAGCACUGUGGAAAGAGAAGCGGUACUGAGGGACCAGGCAACGUGGGCUGAAAUCCAGCACUGAGCAGAUGAAGAGCACAGGAGGAGGGAGAGGAGGAGGAAGAGGAGGAGGGAGCAUGAGAGUGCAAAGUGCCAUCCAUGCAAGUGGAAGACACAUGCUGUGGAGGAACACACACAGUGGAAGGCUGAGCCCUGCACUGAGGGGGAGUCCUCAUCAUGGUGCACAGAUGCCCGCAACUGCUGAGGCGCUGAGCUCGUGGUGCGGUCUCCUCCACUGCAGACCUGGAGUAGGUAUAGAUCAUAAACCAGGCACAGUAAGAGGUCAAGAGCAAUGGUUCGCAUCACACUAAGCCCCGUGUGUCUGCUGCCGUGAUAAAGAGCAUGACCAAAAGCAAGCUGGGGAUAAAAGGGCUUUUCGUCUCACAAGUCUUAGGUCACAGUCCAUUACUGAGAGAAGUCAGGGCAGCAACUGAAGCAGAGGCCUUGGAGGAUGCUACUUACUGACUUAUCCUCUCUGGCUUGCUCAGCCUGCUUUCUUAUACAACCCAGGACCACUUGCCCGGGCUUGGUACCAUCCCCUAGAGAGCUGGACCCUCCCAUAUCGAUCGUUAAUCAAGAAAAUGUCGCACAGAUAUCUGGUGGGUGCAUUAUGAGAGUUCCUCUUCCUGGGUGACUCUAGCUUGUUUAAGCUGACAUCAAACUACCCAACAUCAGCCCAUGAAGACGGCUGUGGAGUGACUGUGGUGGGGGGGGGUUGCAUACACAGCAUGGAUAUUCAAAGGGAUGACAGUGGCGGCAUGGGAUUCAAUCACACUUCCCAUAAUGGUGUGCUAUGUGAAAUUUACAUACUACUUACUUCUGGCAUUUUCCACUUUCAGAUUGCGAUUGGCCACUGGUGACAGAAUCCAUGGACAAUGAAACUGAGGGGGCAGGGGGGUGACUAGUGACCACUGACAUCACAGGAGGAAGGGGACUGGGAAGAGAGGCAGAAAGCUGGUUCCCACCUCAUCCAAGUUUCCUACUCAGGACACACAAGGCGCCCCAACAGCAGAGGUGAUGGUACCAAGGCAGCAUGCUCGCAUGAGGGUAUUGUCAUGUAUGUCCCCGUGUAUGUAUGCAUCCCAGGACCUGCACGUGCCGGGCAAGUACUCUCCCAGCUACUGGCAUUUAAUUUAGGAACUGGCAAACUCUUUCUUGAAAAUACGUCAGGCUUUUAAGUACACAUAUCCAUUGACGCACAAAAGUAGCCACCAAGAUGCUUGGAUGACAAACAUGGCCACAUGCUAAGAAAACCUGAGACGGUCUUCUCAAACACUUAUAAUUUCAUGAAAUCUUCAUAGUGUGAAGUACCCCUUUUAAGGUUUCUUUAAAUUAUUAAGAAUGAAAAAUAAUUCUUACUAGAUUGUCCCAAGCUAGCAUGGGGCAGGGAUCUGUCUUAGUGAGUUAAGUGAUGAUCUCUGCCAAGCUUGUCAGAGCAGAAGGUGAUUAACUGACCGACAGCCUUGCCCUCAUCUUUUCCCCCAGACUACAAUCCGCCCAGCACUGCCUGAGGCCCCAGGAUGAACUCUCCAGUGGCUGGAACCCUGUGGUCAUCCCACAGAUAGGAUGGCCAAUGGAGAAAGCUGCUUUGAGCACUGGACCCUCAUGAGUUCCUGAGAGUAUGGAAGUGGUUUCUGGUGGGCUUGCAGUGAAAAAUCCCCAGAGCUAUGGCGUGGCCACUAGUCAAGGAGAACCCUAUAUAAGCUGCCUGGGAACAUAAUAAAAUUGGGAUUCUUGCUUCAAGAGUGA